rnacentral:rRNA from 1 species
GUCUUUUUGUUAAUAAUUUAAAGUCUAAUCUGCCCACUGAUAUGUUUAUUAAAGGGCUGCAGUAUUUUGACUGUACAAAGGUAGCAUAAUCAUUAGUCUUUUAAUUGGUGACUUGUAUGAAAGAUUGGAUGAAAUAUAAACUGUCUCUUUUAUAAAAAAAAAAUUGAAUUUAAUUUUUUAAUUAAAAAGUUAAAAUUAUUUAAAAAGACGAGAAGACCCUAUAGAGUUUUAUAAUUUAUUUUGUAAAUAUUUUUAUUUUUAUAUUUUUAUAAUUUUAAAUUAUUUUGUUGGGGUGAUAAAAAAAUUUAAUUAACUUUUUUUAGUAGUUUACAUUAAUAAGUGAUUAAAUGAUCCAAUUUUAUUGAUUAAAAGAAAAAAUUACCUUAGGGAUAACAGCGUAAUUUUUUUUUUUAGUUCAAAUAAAAAGAAAAGUUUGCGACCUCGAUGUUGGAUUAAGAUAAAAUUUAAAUGUAGAAGUUUAAAAUUUUGAUCUGUUCGAUCAUUAAAAUCUU